rnacentral:rRNA from 1 species
GGUUAAGUUAGAAAGGGCGCACGGUGGAUGCCUUGGCACUAGGAGCCGAAGAAGGACGGGACUAACACCGAUAUGCUUUGGGGAGCUGUACGUAAGCGUUGAUCCAGAGAUUUCCGAAUGGGGGAACCCACUAUCUUUAGUCGGAUAGUAUCCUUACGUGAAUACAUAGCGUGAGGAAGGCAGACCCAGGGAACUGAAACAUCUAAGUACCUGGAGGAAGAGAAAGAAAAAUCGAUUUCCUGAGUAGCGGCGAGCGAAACGGAAAGAGCCCAAACCAAGAAGCUUGCUUCUUGGGGUUGUAGGACACUCUAUACGGAGUUACAAAAGAAAGUUAUAAAUGAAGCGGUCUGGAAAGGCCCGCCAAAGACGGUAACAGCCCGGUAGUUGAAAUGGCUUUCCCUCCAGAGUGGAUCCUGAGUACGGCGGAACACGUGAAAUUCCGUCGGAAUCCGGGAGGACCAUCUCCCAAGGCUAAAUACUCCCUAGUGACCGAUAGUGAACCAGUACCGUGAGGGAAAGGUGAAAAGCACCCCGGAAGGGGAGUGAAACAGUUCCUGAAACCGUGUGCCUACAAGUAGUUAGAGCCCGUUAAUGGGUGAUAGCGUGCCUUUUGUAGAAUGAACCGGCGAGUUACGAUUUGUUGCAAGGUUAAGCGGAAAAAGCGGAGCCGUAGCGAAAGCGAGUCUGAAUAGGGCGCAUAAGUAACAGGUCGUAGACCCGAAACCAGGUGAUCUACCCAUGUCCAGGAUGAAGGUAAGGUAAUACUUACUGGAGGUCCGAACCCACGCACGUUGAAAAGUGCGGGGAUGAGGUGUGGGUAGCGGAGAAAUUCCAAUCGAACUUGGAGAUAGCUGGUUCUCUCCGAAAUAGCUUUAGGGCUAGCCUCGAGGUAAAGAGUCAUGGAGGUAGAGCACUGUUUGGACUAGGGGCCCUUCUCGGGUUACCGAAUUCAGAUAAACUCCGAAUGCCAUGUACUUAUACUCGGGAGUCAGACUGCGAGUGAUAAGAUCCGUAGUCGAAAGGGAAACAGCCCAGACCACCAGUUAAGGUCCCCAAAUAUAUGUUAAGUGGAAAAGGAUGUGGGGUUGCUUAGACAACCAGGAUGUUGGCUUAGAAGCAGCCACCAUUGAAAGAGUGCGUAAUAGCUCACUGGUCGAGUGACCCCGCGCCGAAAAUGUACCGGGGCUAAACAUAUUACCGAAACUGUGGAU